rnacentral:siRNA from 1 species
AGGGUUAGGUUUGAAAGCACAGGC